rnacentral:lncRNA from 1 species
UUUUCUUAGCCCAACAUGAGAGGCUUACACAUGUACCCCUUUUCCCCAAACUUGUGAACUUGUCUGAUAUGUAGUCUCAAGUUUAUAAGCUUCCCUUAGAAAAAGUUCUAUUUCAUUUCUACAAAUCAUACUUCUCUCAUUUUAUAAUCCUUGAAAUGGAUAGUGCUGCCUCAUCUUAGAUGAGGCAUUCAACAGUUUUAAUUUCUAAGUUAUAAAUUAUUAUUUCUUCUUCUUUUUUAAACGUCUUAGAGACAAAUCUGUCUAUUUCACAUAGGAAGCCAGUUGAGUUGUUCCUCACGCUUUCCCCACGAAGCUGCAUCUGAAGGACUUCCUCACCCCCCCGCUGUGAUCACAAGUUAUGCCUCACAGAUUCAUUUCCUUAUGAAUGACUUCAGGAAGCCAGCAUUUUUAAUAAAUAGGAAGUAAAUUAUAUUUAAUGACUAAAUUCUCACCUAAAGUUGAUACUAAUAUUACAAUAACUCUCUUGUGCCCUAUUUUGGUGUUUUAAACUUCUUUGCUGUACAUUUAAGAAAAUCAGAAUUUCAGUAGACUCCUCGUGCAGUCUGAGGAGGCAGUUUCCUAUCUGGUUUGACUUAAGGGGCUGCAGAAGACAUUCUUAUCCCACAUAUUUCUUCUGCUGAUCAGUCAGCAACUGAAAUUCCAACUAAUGGAUUCCAUUCUUCCAGUUAAGACAUCAUCUCCAGAAAACUGUGCUAGUUGGCAUCCAGCAGUGCCCAAGUAUUAUUUAACCCACUAGAACCUGUGACUGCAUCAGCUUUAUAUCCUGGACCUCAGCCUGGAACAAAGGAGAGCUACACUUGGAUACUAAACACAAGUGGUCUGGAUAGAUUAUGCUGGGAAAAGAAGCCUGGAGCAGGCAGUACAGUGGGAGAACAAGGAGAGAAUGGAGUUGCAGCAGACUGCUCAGGAAUUGUACAUCACCAGUAGCUUCUGUCUCAGCUAAGUGUGGGAGACUGAUACUGAUGAGCCAUUAACAAUGGUGGAGAUUCUGAAUCACUGAAGCACUUGAUAAAAGAAAUGUCGUGGGUGAUGUGAAAAUCUACAUAUGCCCAUGAGAGUAUAUUGAGUUUGUAAGUGUUGUUGCUUAGUGUGUCACAGAGAAGUUUAUAAGAAACUAUUUUGGAGUAAGAAACAACACAGAAGAACACAGUUUCAGCCUGAAAUGGCUUAUUUAGCCACUGACCAUCAGAAACAAUUACUUUUUACCUUAACCUAGAUUUGUAAUAGCAGGAUGCAUUGAAUUCCUUCAUUGAAGUGAAACCUUAGCAAAUCUUUAAGUAGUACUCUAAAGUGACAAAAGGUGUUUACAUUUACUAAUGUAAAUUUCUUGUGGAGAUAAAGUUUUUAUUCUUCUUGGGUCUCAAGACUGCUCAAGAAGGAACCAUCGUUUGUUCUACACUGCUCUGUUCUAAAUGUUUGUUCCCCCAAUAUUCAUAUGUUGAAAUUCUAACCCCCAAGGAGAUAGUAUUAGGAGGUGGGGCCUUCGGGACAUGAUAAGGUCAUGAGGAUGAAGCCCUCAAGAAUAAGAUUCAUUGCCUUAUAAAGAAAAACCAGAAAGAUCCCUCAUUUCUUCAAUCAUAAGAAGACACAUGAGCAAGAAGACGGCCAGCUAUGAAGCAGGUCGUGGGCCCUCGCCAGACACUGAAUCUGCCAACACUUUGAUCUUGGAUUUCCUAGCCUGCAGAACUGUGAGAAAUAAAUUUCUUUUCUUUAUAAUCCAC